UGUUCUCUUACCGCAAGAUAUGAAUAACUGCCUCUUGAUUUCAGCAAGAGUUACUCACAUCCUGUGGGAAAGGAAGA